UGAACAGAUUAUUGUAUUCGACUGUAUUCACGGCGUGAAACGGGGGAUUACACUGUUUUUAAACAGAAAGUGAAUCAAUUAACAUAAUAGACUCCU
rnacentral:pre_miRNA from 1 species